CGGCAUGCCUCAUACAUGCAAGUCGAACGAGGUCUUCGGACCUAGUGGCGCACGGGUGAGUAACAUGUGGGAAUCUACCUGAAGGUUCGGAAUAACUGCGGGAAACUGUAGCUAAUACCGGAUGUGUCUGCAAAGAGAAAGAUUUAUCGCCUUCAGAUGAGCCCGCACUAGAUUAGCUAGUUGGUGAGGUAAUUGCUCCACCAAGGCUACGAUCUAUAGCUGAUUUGAGAGGAUGAUCAGCCACACUGGGACUGAGACACGGCCCAGACUCCUACGGGAGGCAGCAGUAGGGAAUAUUGGACAAUGGGGGAAACCCUGAUCCAGCAAUGCCGCGUGAGUGAAGAAGGCCUUCGGGUUGUAAAGCUCUUUCAUCAAUGAUGAUAAUGACAUUAGUUGAAGAAGAAGCCCCGGCUA
rnacentral:rRNA from 1 species